CAGCCACACGGCAAGCACAACACACCACACACGAACAAACUUCACUUACUUAAGAUGUCAGACGGGAAAUCUCGCAAUUCCCUCUCGAGAUCAAACGUUCGUUCAGGGUCAAUGAGGUCCAACAUCUGAAACAAUGGUGGGCAGUGGAUUAGUGGAGGUCCAGGACGGCUGAACACGCUCUUCUCUAUGUAUGCUGUGGGAAGUGGUGGAGGGUCUGGACAGCUUAAAGUGCAAGAGCAUCCAGAUCUCCUCUGACCUCUCCUGGACUGGAAACGCCCCUCACCUGUUGAAGAAGGUACAAGAGCUCUUCUUCAUCAGGAAAUGAAAACAGACUGUUCUCUCUUUUCAGCUGCUUACAAAUGUCUACAGGGCCACAGUGGAAAGCACCCUGUGUCUCAGCAUGACAGUGUGGUGUGGGAACUGCACAGGAGAAGAAGGAAGUAUCAUGAGUGGUGAGGACAGCACACAGGAUUAUGGGAUGCCGUUUGCCCGACAUGGACUCUGUUUACACUAUACAACUUCAGAGGAAAGCCAGGCGCAUCGCAAAAGACCCCUCCCAUCCAAUGCUACAAGCUGAUUGUCCCACUUCCAUCAGGAAAACUGAACAGCUGCAUUAAAUCCAGACCAAACACACUUAAACAGUUGAGCAUUUUGAGGUACUUUGACAAGGUAUUUCUCCAAAACUGUAUAGUAAAAUUAUAAAAUAUUUAUUCUGAUUAUAGUGUAGAUGACCAUUUACCAUAAUCUGAAGAGUUUGUGUCAUAUACUGGAUGAGCAUUUUGAGAUACUUUGAGUUCUGUAUUUCUCCAAAACUGUACAGUAAAAUUAUUAAAAAUGUAUUCUUUUACAUAAAAUAAAUAUGUGAAAGUUGUAAAAAUGUAAAUAAUAAAAAUGUUCUGUAGGUUA